rnacentral:lncRNA from 1 species
CCAUGCCAUGUCUAAUUCAACAGUUAAGUAUGGAUGCAUCAACAAUAAUCAUAUCAGGUGCAAGAAAGUAAUCAACCGGAGGCCCUCUAAUAGCCAUGUACGGUUGAACCUAGAGCUCAAAAUCUAUCACUCUCACUCUGCCGGAGUCACCUCUGUGACCUGUACGGCCUUCUGCACACAAGUUACGCUCUAGUGCUUCUCUCAUCAAUCAUCUGUGCACAUAAUCUAAGGUCACCUACCAGUCGGAACCCCUCUAACGGUCUGUACGACUGGCAUGUCGGAACCACCCCCGGUGGUCUGUACGACUAGCAUCUACUUGGAUCCAAGGCGAGCGUGCGAUGCGGUGAAUACUAUAAGCACUAAACUAUGGUGCAGGAUUUGAGCUCAAUAUAUAUCAUCAUCAUCAUAACAGUAAUUAAAUACUCAUCUGUGCGUCCACCGCACCAUUUCAUACAUAUGCAUCAUAAAUCAAUUCUUACCUGUGCGUCCACCGCACCAAUUCAUACAUAUUCAUCAUAAAUCAAUUCUUACCUGUGCGUCCACCGCACCAAUUCAUACAUAUGCAUCAUAAAUCAAUUCUUACAUGUGCGUUCACCGCACCAAUUCAUACAUAUGCAUCAUAUAUUAAUUCAUGCAUGGCAUUUCAACUCACAUUUCUAUAUACUUUUCAUAUCAAUUCUAUGCAUGGUAUUUCAUUUCCCGUUUUUCCACAUAACUCAUAUGCAUUUCAUUUUAAACAUAUUUUCAUUUCAAUUCAAUUUCUGGGAAACGUCAAGUAUAUAUAUAUACGGAAAACAAAACUGCCCACUCACAGAAUACAUCGACGUGUCGUAGGUCCCUGAGCCUCC